UUAACUGAAACCAAAAAGAGGUAUAUUACUGUUAAUAAUACUAUUGAAAAAUAUUCCAGUUAAA
rnacentral:tRNA from 3 species